rnacentral:rRNA from 1 species
AGAUUGAACGCUGGCGGCAUGCCUUACACAUGCAAGUCGAACGGUAGAGUAGCAAUACUCGAGAGUGGCGAACGGGUGAGUAAUAUAUCGGAACGUGCCCAGUCGUGGGGGAUAACGUAGAGAAAUUUACGCUAAUACCGCAUACGAUCUAAGGAUGAAAGCGGGGGAUCGCAAGACCUCGCGCGAUUGGAGCGGCUGAUAUCAGAUUAGGUUGUUGGUGAGGUAAAAGCUCACCAAGCCGACGAUCUGUAGCUGGUUUGAGAGAACGACCAGCCACACUGGGACUGAGACACGGCCCAGACUCCUACGGGAGGCAGCAGUGGGGAAUUUUGGACAAUGGGCGAAAGCCUGAUCCAGCAAUGCCGCGUGUGGGAAGAAGGCCUUCGGGUUGUAAACCACUUUUGUACGGAACGAAACGGUUCGCUUUAAUACAGUGGGCUAAUGACGGUACCGUAAGAAUAAGCACCGGCUAACUACGUGCCAGCAGCCGCGGUAAUACGUAGGGUGCGAGCGUUAAUCGGAAUUACUGGGCGUAAAGCGUGCGCAGGCGGUUAUAUAAGACAGUUGUGAAAUCCCCGGGCUCAACCUGGGAAUUGCAUCUGUGACUGUAUAGCUAGAGUACGGUAGAGGGGGAUGGAAUUCCGCGUGUAGCAGUGAAAUGCGUAGAUAUGCGGAGGAACACCGA